UCCCUGGUAGUCUGGUGGCUAAGAAUCCACACUCCCAAUGCAGGGGGCCCAGGUUCAAUUCCUGAUCAGGGAA
rnacentral:tRNA from 1 species